UCUGACUUUGUAUGCAAGUGUGUUUUUGAGACGAAGGAACCGGGUGGUAAUUCUUUGCAAACCCAUAAAAGCCAGGAAUAUAUCAAUUAAUGGCAUAAUUAACUCUUAAUUAGCUGUUAUUUCACAACAUUCCUUCGACAAUGAGUGAAUGUGUGAUGUCUUCGUCAGGCCGACCUGGCAUGGGGCCCAUAACCCUGCCUGCGGUCGCCUGGUUUGAAUUCCUCUUAGACGAAUCUUUACUCGAAAAACAUUUGAAUGAACUCAACCCAGAUCCAACCCCAGGACAAAUGAUAGUCCUUUUCAUGCAACAGGCUGAAACUCACAGCAAUGCUGCUCUCCCUACUCACAAUAAAACCAAUUCGGAAUUGAGUAACAACCAUACAGGAUCUGCUGACAUCAAAUCAGAAGAUAUUCCAGAAAUAAAGAUGCCAGGGUUUAACAAAAAGGUCAAAGCCUUGAAGAUUCUUGCUCUGAAAGUUGCUGCAUUUCUUAAGUGGGAUUUGGAAGUUUUAAGUAAAAGCCUUCCAUUAACCAUGACCCAGACCUUGCUGCUUGAACUGGUGAGGACCUGUGUGGGGAGUGGAAGCAUCGAGAAAGUUAAUACAGUUCAGGAUUACGACAAUUUGAGUGACGAGGCUGCGUUUUCCAUGCAGCUGUUUCACAGAUGGAGUAUCGAAACAGUUGUUAUGGAUACUUUUCCCAACCGUCCACAAAAGACAAGUUUUGUAUCUGUACCUGGAGUACAAGAAACUAUGUUUACCUUGGCAGGUAUCAAUGAAUCUCUAAUUCGACUUUUGAAAGAUCAAAUAAAAAGUUCUGUUGAAAAUCUGCAGACAUUUCUUCAGUGUUGUCGGAAUAUUAAAGUUCCAACAUUAUCGUAUUUUUCAAUUCCCACUGAAAAUACUGAUCCAUUGGAGAAUGUUUCCGAUCACUGUGUCAAUGUUUCGGUGAAUGAAUUUAAAACUCAGGUGUCCUAUUCUUUGGGGAUGUACUUUUUCCAGUUAGAAGAAUAUUCUGAAGCAUAUGAAAUGUUCAAGAUCACAGAAGAAUCUUUUGUACCACGAGGUUACUACUGCCGAGUGAACGAUGAACAUCUGAGAGGCUAUCUGGUCGCCUGCCGCAAUAUGUUGUCCGUCUCGUUGCCUUCUUCAUACACCCUGUCUCAUUUUGAAAGAGCAGAAGAAUCAAAAACCAAAAACUAUGAGGGUUUAAUUGAUAUUCUCAUGGAGGACAAUAUUAAAAAAGAACUUUCUAAAGAAUACCGUCACCAAUUAUUUGAAGAAAUCAGUCGGAAACCAGUGAGUGAUAUCAGCAUGCUGAGUUUCCAAGUGAAUGCCUGUAACAUCGUGUCAGAGGUCAUGGAUGGAAAGGUGGUGAUAUCAGCAUUUAUGGAUGAGAUGCGAAGUGAAGGACAGAAAGGGGCGGAGUUCCUUCUAUCUGUGUUAUCGCAUGCUAUCAAAGCCUCAAAUGAUACCCAAAGAGAAUACCUGAAAGGGUUUACAGGGUACCUUGCUCAGCUCUUGCCACGAGAAACGAAGUUUGUCGCUCUGCUCACAAAAAGUGAUGUUUAUUCCUACCUGACCGAAAAUGAACGUGUUGAAAUGUUAAACUUUGAAGACAGGGAAGAUGUCUUCUGCGAGGAAAUCUCCUGUGAUUAUGGCACGAUGUCUUACCCAGAUUCUGUGUCUGCGGUCAGUGAAGCGGAACGACAAAUCUUGUAUGAGUGCAAUCCACAGAAGGUCGAAGAUUUGAUCAUUAAGCUGACGCAGAAGUGGGGUCGACAUCCGAACCAAAUAAUGGCCCUCACUGAUUGGCAGGUCCCUAAACCACUGCGCCAAAUGCUGGAGAGUAUGCCAUCUAGUAUGCAGCAAACGUACGCUUAUAUAUUGGUGGGCAAGUCACGCCAUUGCCUAAAGCUGAAGGCCUACAACAUGGCACGGGACCUGUUAACAUCUGCCAUGAUGGCAAUAAAGGACUACAACUUUGCCCUCACCAAGCACCAUCAGUACCAGAUGCUGCUGGUUGACCUGUAUCAGGCCGACAGCAGCGUAUGCAGCAAUGACAAACUGCAUGAAUUGGCCAACAAGGCCAAGUCUUGUUUGAACACUGUCAGAUCUGGACAAGACACCCCUCCGACACCGGAAGUUGUGGAACAAGCUGCUGUGUUCUUGCUGAAUGUCAAAGACUGGGAAUAUCUCAGUAAUAUGGAAGGUUCCAGUAAUGGUUUUAUUGAGGUCAGUCUUCUUUUGGCAAGGGCUUGUAAAGAAAUCAAUGGAACCAAGACUGCUCGUAAACCAGCUCGGGAUUUCUGGGAAGCAGUGGGGAAUAUCUUUUCUGACAAUCUUUCUCAGAAAAGGUCGAUUACAGGUCGUGAAACAAUGAUACAUCGGAACAAUUCUUUGGCAGUGAUGUCAAAAGAAAGUUUCUGUCAGUUUAUCAAGAAAAUCAAGGAACCAACCAUACUUAGUUUCUUAAUUUCUUGUUUGACCAAACUGUACAAUAUUUUGAAGGAUAACAUCAGUAGUGAAAUCUUCAGCAAUUACAUCACCAUUUGGCCAACCAAUAUAAACAAUAGCAGUGCCAUGGAUACAGCUGCCUUAGCCGAAUGCGUGUCCCUUCUGAUGCACCAUGCUUUAUCUCAGGAUCCCUUAAACCCGUCAUGGUUGAGAACAGAAGCAGACAUUCAGUUUGCUCACAAUCAAUAUAGCUGUGCAAUGAAGUAUUACCUGGAAGCUGGUCUUGCGGCAUCUAACUACUUUUCCAUUCCAGUACCUCACCCUAUAUACGAUGAACAGGUCUACAGAAAGAUGAUCAAAUGUUGUUCCUAUCUCCAGUGUCACACACAGGUUGCCAUCCUUUGUCAGUUUCUUGAAAACAUUGACUACACGACGGCGUUCAAAGCCCUUCAAGAGACGACCAUCUAUGAUGCCCAAGACAUCUACUACUACUUCAUCUGGGACCUCAGCAUACUGGAAUUCCUCUCACAUUUACAUGCUAAACGAGGAGAACAGGUUAAGAAACAACAAGUCAUGAAAGCUCUGGGCCAGAUGGAUUUGAAUGUCUGCAACCCUGAAGACAUUCUGCAAGAAGCAACUCAGCAUCGCAAGAACAACUUCCUUCGUUCACUGGCCAAAUUGUACUUAUGAUGACGAUGACGACGACGACGACGACAACGGUGAUACACAAGUAGCAAGAGAGAAAGAAAGAGAGAGAGAGAGAGGAAGAUGGUGGUGGAAGUGCUUGAGAAAAAGGCACGAAAGAGCAGAAGUGGACAGCAAGAGAAAGUGGAGACAGCAGUGGGGGUGGGGGGUGGGAUGGACAUAAAGAGGAGGAGAAGGAGUGGGGGGGAAGAGGAUGAGAGCGAUGUGGUGUGUGUGUGUGAGUGGAGGGGAUGAGGGUGGGAUCAUCUUGUUGGUCCCAAAUUGAUGAUACUUGAGAAAAAAGUUUGAAGUCUUCUCUGUGACACUAAGUUUUGUUGAAACACAUUACCAACUUCCUGCCAAUGAUUGAUACACUAGUAGUAGCAGCAGCAAUACUACUACUACUACUACUUCUUUUUCUUCUUCUAGUCUUACUAUCUCUGCUUGAAGUUCUCUUCAUGGCACAAAUCUUAACAAUAUUUUUUUUGUUCUUGUCUUUCAUUAUUUCCAGACAAAAGAAGUUUUCGUUGUUUCAAAACAUUAAAAAAACAACAACAGCA
rnacentral:misc_RNA from 1 species